rnacentral:rRNA from 1 species
CCUACGGGGGUCAGCAGUGGGGAAUAUUGCUCAAUGGACGCAACUCUGAAGCAGCCAUGCCGCGUGCAGGAAGACGGCUCUCUGAGUUUUAACCUGCUUUUGUAGGAGAGUCAACGCAGAUACCUGUAUCUUUCUGACCGUCUCAUCCAAAUACGUGUCGGCUAACUACGUGCCAGCAGCCGAGGUAAUACGGAGGGUGCAAGCGUUAUCCGGAUUUAUUGGGUGUAAAGGGUGCGUAGGCGGGAGGCGAAGUUAGAGGUGAAAUCCCGAGGCUCAACUUCGGAACUGCAUUUGAAACUGUUCGGCUAGAGAGUAGUGGAGGUAGGUGGAAUGGAUGGUGUAGCGGUGAAAUGCGUAGAGAUCAGACAGAACACCGAUUGCGAAGGCAGCUUACCAAGAUACAUCUGACGUUGAGGCACGAAAGCGUGGGGAGCAAACAGGAUUAGAUACCCUAGUAGUC